AUCCAUACCAAGAACAUCAAAAUCGGGCCUCAAAUGACCCAUCAAAUCACCACUUAAAGCUUUCCAAUACUCAAGCUCUAGUCCUUUAUUUUAAGCUUUAAAUCUCACUAGUUUCAUAUCUAAUUAGAUAGAAAUUACCAUAGAUUCGAGUAUUGAGUUCAAAAAUGGUGAGAAAUGGGCUAAAAAUCGCAAAGGUGAGAUUUAUACUUUCUUCCUGGGCAUCUCGCACUGUCGGCUCCAAUUCUGCCUAUUCAGACCGCUUCUGCGAGAAAAUAGCUGCACGUGCAGUUUUUCGCUUAAGGGCCAAACAUCCGCACCUGCGCCCCAGGCUAUACACUUGCGGGCUCGCAUGUGCAGUAAAUCUUCCGCUCCUGCGGCGACCUCCAUGUACCUGCG
rnacentral:lncRNA from 1 species